UCCUGGCUCAGAACGAACGCUGGCGGCGCGUCUUAAGCAUGCAAGUCGGACGGCAAGGGUUGUGCUUGCACAACUCCUAGAGUGGCGGACUGGUGAGUAACGCGUGGGUGACCUGCCCUCGAGAUGGGGAUAGCCAUUAGAAAUAGUGGAUAAUACCGAAUACGCUCAUGACCCUGUGGGGAUAUGAGGAAAACAGGCUACGGCCUGGCUCGAGGAUGGGCCCGCGUCCCAUUAGCUAGUUGGUGAGGUAACGGCCCACCAAGGCGACGAUGGGUAUCCGGCCUGAGAGGGUGUACGGACACAUUGGGACUGAGAUACGGCCCAAACUCCUACGGGAGGCAGCAGCUAAGAAUAUUCCGCAAUGGACGAAAGUCUGACGGAGCGACGCCGCGUGGAAUGAAGAAGGCCGGAAGGUUGUAAAAUCCUUUUGAAACUGAAGAAUAAGCGUUGUAGGGAAUGACAGCGUGGUGACAGUAGGUUUUGAAUAAGCAACGGCUAAUUACGUGCCAGCCGCCGC
rnacentral:rRNA from 1 species